rnacentral:rRNA from 1 species
GACGAACGCUGGCGGCGUGCUUAACACAUGCAAGUCGAACGGAAAGGCCCUGCUUUUGUGGGGUGCUCGAGUGGCGAACGGGUGAGUAACACGUGAGUAACCUGCCCUUGACUUUGGGAUAACUUCAGGAAACUGGGGCUAAUACCGGAUAGGAGCUCCUGCUGCAUGGUGGGGGUUGGAAAGUUUCGGCGGUUGGGGAUGGACUCGCGGCUUAUCAGCUUGUUGGUGGGGUAGUGGCUUACCAAGGCUUUGACGGGUAGCCGGCCUGAGAGGGUGACCGGCCACAUUGGGAUUGAGAUACGGCCCAGACUCCUACGGGAGGCAGCAGUGGGGAAUAUUGCACAAUGGGCGGAAGCCUGAUGCAGCAACGCCGCGUGCGGGAUGACGGCCUUCGGGUUGUAAACCGCUUUCGCCUGUGACGAAGCGUGAGUGAUGGUAAUGGGUAAAGAAGCACCGGCUAACUACGUG